CUGGCUCAGAACGAACGCUGGUGGCGUGUCUAUACAUGCAAGUCGAGCGAGGCAGCAAUGCCGAGCGGCGAACGGGUGAGUAACGCGUAAGCAAUCUGCCCCAUAUCAGGAAAUACCCGUGCCAACGCGCGGUUAAUGUCCAGGAGAGUGGCCCUCUGCAUGGAGGGUUGACUAGAGAUUUAUCGGUAUGGGAUGAGCUUGCGUCCGAUUAGCUAGUGGCGGGGCAACGGCCCACCAAGGCGACGAUCGGUAGCCGGCCUGAGAGGGUGAUCGGCCACAUUGGGACUGAGAUACGGCCCAGACUCCUACGGGAGGCAGCAGUAGGGAAUAUUGCACAAUGGGGGAAACCCUGAUGCAGCAACGCCACGUGUGGGAAGAAGCAUUUCGGUGUGUAAACCACUGUCAUGAGGGAAUAAGGCCCUUAUCCGUAAGGGAUUGAAUGUACCUUGAGAGGAAGCACCGGCAAACUUCGUGCCAGCCGCCGC
rnacentral:rRNA from 1 species